AACAGAAACCAACGGUCUCACAAAUACCGUUUUUUUAAACAAAAACACGUGAGAAGUGAUGAGGGGUUUAAUGAUACCACGUCCAAAAAUGCACGUCAACAAGUAGCGAGUGAUCAAAGUGUUUGUGCGCUGUGAUGAAAUCAAGGAGGAAAAAUAAAUGAAUCUGAGUGGACGAAUAGCAUGGAUUGUUCUGUAGUGAGUUGGAUGUUUUGUAGAGAACGAUGAGGUCAGAAAUUAUGGAGGGCAUUCUGAUGGAAACCUGUUUACCCGCCGAGGUUAAGGAUUAAAGUCGAGACUGCCGGGACAACGAUGCUGCUCCUGUCAGAUGUGAUGGGUCUGGAGUAAUUGCAACGACAAGAAAUCACUACAGACUUUAUUGAAGACUAGAGCGGAUAACAACUCUAUUAUUAUUUAAUUGUUUAUUUAUCUAUUUAUUACCACUGUAUGACUUUUAGAUCAUUCAAUUCUGUGUUUGUAUGAUUUGUGUAAAUCGUGUAUUUAUUUAAAGUAUCCUCCAGACCACCCAAGAAGGAUGGGCCCUGUUGAGUCUGGUUCCUCUCAAGGUUUCUUCCUGUAAUUUUCAGGGAGUUUUUCCUUGCCACAGUCGCCCUCGGCUUGCUCAACAGGGGUUUUUGUAUCUGUUGGUCCUGGAUUUUGUAAAGUUGCUUUGAGACAAUGUAUAUUGUAAAAAGCGCUAUAUAAAUAAAGUUGACUUGACUUGA